UCUUAUGGAUGAUUAAAAAAAGUAGUUUCUUGAGAUGGAAUCUACUUUUGGUGAAGAUACUGUGAA
rnacentral:pre_miRNA from 15 species